rnacentral:rRNA from 1 species
AAUGGAGCCAGUAUUCGGGUAUGGAGGGACAAUUGGAUUCCGAGACCCCACUCUUUCAAACCUAUCUCUCCAAGAGGUAAUUGCCGUAUCCGCUAUGUGUCUGAACUUCUCAAUGACAAUGGAUCUUGGAAUAUGAACUUGUUGCAGAAUUACUUUUGGCCUUGCGAUGUGGAUGAAAUCAUAAAAAUUAGAGCGUCCCCAAGGCAUGAGGAGGAUACACUUGCAUGGGGACCAGUGAGGUUUGGCCAAUUCUCGGUGAAGUCGGAGUAUGAUUUUGCCUUCGAUGAAGCCAACGGAGAACUACAGCCAGCAUAUAGCACUAAUCCGGAUGGCUGCCGAACUAGUUGGAACUUGAUAUGGAAAACGGAUGUCCCCCCAACAGUAAAAAACUUUGCAUGGAGAGUGGUCUCAGACUCCCUUCCGACUUAGGUUAAUAAACAUAAGAGUACCUUGGAAAUCACCAAUAUAUGUCCGGUGUGUGACGUGGAACCAGAAGACAAUUUUCAUCCUCUAUGUCGCUGCCCUAGAGCACGGGAAUUAUGGAUGUAUAUGUCAAAAGUUUGCAACCUGCCGGCGUUGGAUACUGUGGUGAACGUCGGGAAGGAAUGGUUAUUCCAUGUGCUACUUCCACUACAUGAAAUAGAGAGAUCCAUGCUACUCAUGACACUCUGGAGGGUUUGGUUCAUACGUAAUGAGAUAGUACACAACAAGAUCCCGCCGCCUCUUGAAGUUUCGAGGAGAUUCCUUGUCAGCUAUCUGGAAUCUCUAAUUGCUAUUAAAAUGAACACGCAUAUCGACCCAGCUAAGGGGAAAUCAAUCAUCUCCUAUGACCGCAUAUUCAUGCUGAUACAGCUCUACCACCGCCCGCCCCCCCAGUGGGCUGCACCACCGGAGGGGUGGGUAAAGCUAAACACAGACGGUUUUUUUGAUGCUGGCAGGGCUGGAGCAGGUAUGGUACCUCGGGAUCCUUUGGGAGGCAUAAUCUUUUUUGCAUGCAGAACACUUUUCUCGUGUCGUGAAGCUUUGGAGGCAGAGCUUUGUGCUUGCAUGGAAGGGUUAUCUCUAGCGAUCCAGCGAAGUGAUCGUCCAGUUGCUAUUGAGAUGGAUUCACUUGUUGCUAUAAAGUUAAUCCAAGGGCAAGAUAAAGAUAGGUCUAUUUAUGCUUCGUUAGUCAAAGAGAUUAGAUAUCUCUGAUCUCUCCGUGAAAAUUGUAUUACUCAUGUAAAACGUACUCAAAAUUAGGUUAGCGAUAGCCUAGCAAACUUUGCUCGUACCGAGGGAAGAACCAUGACUUGGAUUGGCUCUGGACCCUCGUGUGUGCUUGAGCUAGUCUCCGCUGAUUGUAAUUCUUUGUUGGCUUGA